GACACUUCCCGGGAUGGCUGAUAACCGCCGGUGCUUGACUUGUGAGCUGAGUGAGGCCUCAGGAACCGGGGGCCGUGGAAAGACUUGCAUCUCCGUGUGCCCCCGCGAGGGGCUCUACGUACAAACCUGUCCUCCAGAGGCCUCUGGGCGUUGCCUGGGGCCGCCCCUCUCUCUCUGGGAGCAGGACCUCGCCCCAGGGUGGAUCAAGAUCCCCGCCGCCGGGCUAGAGUUCUGCUCGACAGACUCCAGGAUACGCGCUGCCCGGGACCAACCAGGACCUCAUGCUUGCGAGCCUUGCCUCACCACCUUCCCAGCCAGCUCCCAGUGCUUGUGUUAGUAUGACAGGGAAUUGAGUCCCCCUGCUCAGCUCUGGUGGUUGACAGUGCCGGGGCUCGAACCUGGGAGCUGGGGCCCGGUCUUGCAGGACCUGUGCUCCGCCGCUGAGCUGUCUCCCCAGCCCUUCCCUCAGGCAUCUCGCUGCACCUGCCUGAUUGUUUCCUGGGAACCCCUGCCGGAGAGGAGACUCACUGUCAGCAGGUUCCAUUGGUAACCCAAACUUCAGCUUGAAAGAGAAGAGACAGCCAGAAAUCAAGAGAAAAAGACCUGCAGCACUGCUUCACUAUUCUCCAAGCUUCCCUUCUUCAGUUGAGCAGCAGUAGCUCGAACCCAGGUCCUUGUGAAGUGGAACAUGUGGACUCAACCAGGUGGGGGACUUGAAUCUUGCACACUGUAACAUGUACAUUCAACCAAGUUCGUCACCACCUGACCUGGCUUCUUCUGUCUUUGCUUCUGUGAGCAGAGGCAGAAAGAAGGGAGAGACACUAAAAAUGGGUCCACCACUGUCAAUGGAUAUUCUCUUCCAUGUAGUGCUGGGGCCUGAACUCAGGAUCUCUUUCAUGCCAUCAAGUUGCAGAUGCUACCAUGAUGCCAACCUGACUUCCCUGGGCAGACGACCUCACCAAUGUGUCCUCGAGCCUCUCCUCCCCAGAGCCCUGCCCCACCAGAGAAAGAGAAACAGGCUGGGGG